rnacentral:rRNA from 1 species
UGGGGAAUUUUGGACAAUGGGCGAAAGCCUGAUCCAGCAAUGCCGCGUGUGUGAAGAAGGCCUUCGGGUUGUAAAGCACUUUUGUCCGGAAAGAAAUCCUUGGCUCUAAUACAGUCGGGGGAUGACGGUACCGGAAGAAUAAGCACCGGCUAACUACGUGCCAGCAGCCGCGGUAAUACGUAGGGUGCAAGCGUUAAUCGGAAUUACUGGGCGUAAAGCGUGCGCAGGCGGUUUGCUAAGACCGAUGUGAAAUCCCCGGGCUCAACCUGGGAACUGCAUUGGUGACUGGCAGGCUAGAGUAUGGCAGAGGGGGGUAGAAUUCCACGUGUAGCAGUGAAAUGCGUAGAGAUGUGGAGGAAUACCGAUGGCGAAGGCAGCCCCCUGGGCCAAUACUGACGCUCAUGCACGAAAAGCGUGGGGGAGCAAACAGGAUUAGAUACCCUGGUAGUCCACGCCCUAAACGAUGUCAACUAGUUGUUGGGGAUUCAUUUCCUUAGUAACGUAGCUAACGCGUGAAGUUGACCGCCCGGGGAGUACGGUCGCAAGAUUAAAACUUAAAUGAAUUGACGGGGU